GGACGUACUUGUACUGAUUGAGAUUUUAACACGAAGUGAGUGGCGAACGGGUGAGUAACACGUGGGUAACCUGCCCAGAAGUAGGGGAUAACACCUGGAAACAGAUGCUAAUACCGUAUAACAGAGAAAACCGCAUGGUUUUCUUUUAAAAGAUGGCUCUGCUAUCACUUCUGGAUGGACCCGCGGCGUAUUAGCUAGUUGGUGAGGUAAAGGCUCACCAAGGCAGUGAUACGUAGCCGACCUGAGAGGGUAAUCGGCCACAUUGGGACUGAGACACGGCCCAGACUCCUACGGGAGGCAGCAGUAGGGAAUCUUCCACAAUGGACGCAAGUCUGAUGGAGCAACGCCGCGUGAGUGAAGAAGGGUUUCGGCUCGUAAAGCUCUGUUGUUAAAGAAGAACGUGGGUAAGAGUAACUGUUUACCCAGUGACGGUAUUUAACCAGAAAGCCACGGCUAACUACGUGCCAGCAGCCGCGGUAAUACGUAGGUGGCAAGCGUUAUCCGGAUUUAUUGGGCGUAAAGCGAGCGCAGGCGGUCUUUUAAGUCUAAUGUGAAAGCCUUCGGCUCAACCGAAGAAGUGCAUUGGAAACUGGGAGACUUGAGUGCAGAAGAGGACAGUGGAACUCCAUGUGUAGCGGUGAAAUGCGUAGAUAUAUGGAAGAACACCAGUGGCGAAGGCGGCUGUCUGGUCUGCAACUGACGCUGAGGCUCGAAAGCAUGGGUAGCGAACAGGAUUAGAUACCCUGGUAGUCCAUGCCGUAAACGAUGAUUACUAAGUGUUGGAGGGUUUCCGCCCUUCAGUGCUGCAGCUAACGCAUUAAGUAAUCCGCCUGGGGAGUACGACCGCAAGGUUGAAACUCAAAAGAAUUGACGGGGGCCCGCACAAGCAGUGAAGCAUGUGAUUUAAUUCGAAGCUACGCUAAGAACCUUAC
rnacentral:rRNA from 1 species